ensembl:lncRNA
CUGAGGGAGAGCUGAGGGCAGCUGGAGCGCCCGGGACGCUGCCCUGUGAGGCCCCCGAGGUGCCAGCCUGCUCUCUACACACGGCUCGGCUUGGAGGAGGCCCAAGGCCAUCCCGACCCUCUCAUCUGCCUGGCGACAUCCCGUUCUGCAAGACUCAAGGCUGCCACCGCCUCCUGCAGACAGCCUUCCUGGAUUGCUUGCCCAGGCCGAGGAGUCUCUGAAAGGGAAAGCAGCCCAAGGGCACAGAUGGCCCUACGAGACAGGGACCAAGGAGACAAGCUGAGGGCAGCCAGCAGCGGGGCAGGCUGACGAUGGCCCUCAUGGCAGACCUAGGCCUGACCAACCAACGUCAGAAGAGAACCUUCCAGAAGGGGAGACAGCGACCAAGAGCCCAGGGCAGAGGCAUAAGCAACUUGAGAAAAAGGCCAACGAUGGAGAAGGCUGGAUCCCACGAGCAGGGACGGGCACUGAGAGGGAGAAGCCGUCCGAGAUGCUCCUGGAGACCAGUGGUUCCUGUCGCCUUGCUUUGUGUUUCGUCCUUGCGUCCUCGCUGUCUCCAGAGGCUGAAUGUCUGAGAGCCGCUGGGGCCGGAGUGGGGCCGGAACGUGGGUCUCCUCCCUCGUCCCCACCUUGGCGUCACGGCUCCCCGUGGGCAGGGCCGCAGGAGUCCAGGAGGACAGCCCCACCGGGGGUAGCCACGCGGAGGAACGGGAGGCAGUGCCGACCUCCUCUUUCCUCCCAGGGCUGCGGGCACCCCCUGCACACCCACCGCCCUUGGGGGGCCUCAGACUCCAGAGGGGCCAGGCCGGCCCCAGAGGGCACAUGCGUGCUCAGCGUGGUGUCCGGCCCUGCAGCCACCAGGGCUCUGCAGGGCGAGCUGCUCCCAGCUGCUCCCUGCUGUCUCUCCAGGACGUCACCCCUUGCUCCUGGGUCCCAAGCCUUCUGCCCCUGCACCGCUACCCAGAAGCCACACUCGGGAGCCAGAGCCACAGAGGACCUUCCUGGGUGCCAGGCACACAGCCCUCAGACCCCCGCUGGCCCGUGGGCUGCAGGUCCCCUGAUCUUCUUGGGUCCACUGCCCUCCCCCGGACCCUGUGGUGCUGCUUGCUGACUAGCCACUGGGAGCGCCCUGCCCCUUAGACAGCUGGCCUCAGGACUGAGAUGGGGCCUCAGGCAGCCAGCCCUGUCUCACCUUUGCCCCUGGAUGCUGGCUGUAGGCCCAAGACCCACACCUCCCAGGUGGGCCUUCUCUCUCCCCCAGGCCUCUGCGUGGCCCUGUCCUGUCUCCCUCUCUCCCUAUGGACCUGGGGCACGGCCUGGAGGCCAGUCUGGGGAGGCCUGGGGAGGAGGACGUGGGCAAGCAGAACAUGCAAGGUUUGUGUAUGGGAAGCCACCGGGUCCCUGGGUGGCCUGGGGCAGCAGCAGCCAGUGGCCAUCAGGGACUUGGGGACACAGGCUUUGUGAACCAGAGCCAGAGUGUGGCCUUAGCCUGAAGGUGGGGAGCCAUUAAGUGGUUAAAGCUGUUUUUCUGGUCAUAAAUGUGCACACUCUUGUCAACUUCAAAAAAGCAGAAAGAAGAGAAGUCCCGUGUGGGUGUCUGGUGGGGCCGCUGCCUCCCUCAGUAUUCUCCCAUCGCCCGUGAAUUCCCGGAAUUCCUUCUCAAUCUCCUUUCUGGCUGGGUGCGGUCCAGAGCCCAGCACUUCUCUGAGUCCUGCCCCGUGGUCUCCAGCCUCAGGUCCUAGCCAGCCCUCUUAGCGGGCCCGUGGCCUUCUGAGAGCCCACUGCCUGUGGCCAGCCAGCCAGGGUCCUGGGUGGGGGCUGCCCCUGCCCCCGAGACACGGCUCCUCCCAGCAGCAGCC